rnacentral:tRNA from 1 species
GGUGAGAUGGCCGAGCGGUCUAAGGCGCCAGACUAAGGACCAGGACAUUCAUGAUGUCCAGCAGGUAUCUGGUCCGAAAGGGCGUGGGUUCGAAUCCCACUCUCAUCA